ACACAAAAAGCAAAGAGUCUUACACUGUGAGCAGAACAAGCAAGGUGUAAUAGCUAGCAUCUGUGAACCUACUUACUGUAUGUCUGGACUCAAUGUUUCCCUUGCUUACUUUCUUACUGUUGUGGCUUUUGGGGCAGCCUUCAGAGUAAUUUUGGGAAAAUGUCCUCAUUUGAGCUUUGCUGCAGAGUUCACUGCCUCGUUUGUGCUAGUAGCAUGCUGGCUGGAAGUGCAGACUAUUAUGGAGGUGGGCGAGUGGGCUGGAGGACUUGGUCCGGAGGUGCCUCUAACCAUACUAUUUGUGGUGCUGCUGACACAUGGUGUGCUCUGUGGUAGAGCCACUGGAAACCCUUCCCUGACUUUGAUGAAUUUCCUGCUGCUGGAGACCCUGAUUAUGCCUACCCUGUUGGAUCUGGCUGCUCAGUUCCUGGGGGCACAACUUUCCCUGCUUGUGGCUGGCUACUACUGGGCCCUGGAGCUAAAUGACAUGCACAUGAUUAAAAAUCUUAUGUCAAAAGAAUGCAGCACAACCCUGCGUUCCUCCUUAAUGCAGGGGAUAUUUUCUGAGUGUGUUUGUUCAAUAUUUUUUUAUCUACUAUAUCUCAGGCUGAGACAUCUCCCUGCACUAAUUCGGGUGCCUCUGGUUGCAGCUGUGCUCACAGUCCUCUCUUAUGCAGCCAGGGGUUUUACAUCUGCCUUUCUGAAUCCCUCCUUGGCAUAUGGUCUUACAUUCUACUGUCCUGGGUUCUCCUUUAUGGAGUACUCAGUGGUAUACUGGCUUGCACCCAUUAUUGGGAUGAUCCUGGCCGUUCUCCUGUACAUGGGCCACAUACCCAGGGUUUUUGCCAAGAAUCUGCUGUAUUCCCACAAGACUCACUUCCGAGUGCCAAAGGGGAAGAAAAUAAAAAGUUAAAUAAAAAUGAGUUGUAUUAUGAAUGCACUGCUAUGUGAUUCCUACUUUUUGUGAUGAACAUUAUAUUCAACAGUUUGUUCUCUCAUUGUUUGACA